rnacentral:lncRNA from 1 species
CCGGAUUCAGCAAGGAAGUCUUGAGGAAGAACUGCUUCAGUCUCCAAAUUUGAUCAAGCAGGGAGUUGUCCUCCACAGCUAGAUCCAAGAAGUAGUGAUUGUUGAUGAGCGGGUUCAGUUGGUGCCUAUUGAUGUUGAAGCUGUCGGCACCUUUGUCUUCCACCAUGGGUGUGUGUUGAUCAAAUGCAUGUGUACCUCCUGC